AUACGUAGGGGGCGAGCGUUGUCCGGAGUUACUGGGCGUAAAAGGUGCGUAGGCGGCCCGUUAAGUCAGGUGUGAAAAACCCUGGCUCAACCGGGGUAUUGCACUUGAAACUGGCGGGCUUGAGUGCAGGAGAGGGGAGUGGAAUUCCUGGUGUAGCGGUGAAAUGCGUAGAUAUCAGGAGGAACACCAGUGGCGAAGGCGGCUCUCUGGCCUGUAGCUGACGCUGAGGCACGAGAGCGUGGGGAGCAAACAGGAUUAGAUACCCUGGUAGUCCACGCUGUAAACGAUGGAUACUAGGUGUAGGGGGCGAUUAGCCUUCUGUGCCGAAGUUAACGCAAUAAGUAUCCCGCCUGGGGAGUACGGCCGCAAGGUUGAA
rnacentral:rRNA from 1 species